UACGUAGGUGGCAAGCGUUAUCCGGAUUUAUUGGGUGUAAAGGGCGUGUAGGCGGGAGCGCAAGUCAGAUGUGAAAACUCAGGGCUCAACCCUGAGCCUGCAUUUGAAACUGUGUUUCUUGAGUGCUGGAGAGGCAAUCGGAAUUCCGUGUGUAGCGGUGAAAUGCGUAGAUAUACGGAGGAACACCAGUGGCGAAGGCGGAUUGCUGGAUAGUAACUGACGCUGAGGCGCGAAAGCGUGGGGAGCAAACAGG
rnacentral:rRNA from 1 species